rfam:Microgenomates (Amesbacteria) bacterium GW2011_GWC2_45_19 TX05_C0017, whole genome shotgun sequence.
GGGCCGUUAGCAUAGUGGUCGUGCGCCGCAUUCGCAUUGCGGAUACGGGGGUUCGAUUCCCCCACGGUCCA